rnacentral:rRNA from 1 species
AUUGAACGCUGGCGGCAGGCCUAACACAUGCAAGUCGAGCGAGCGGCGGACGGGUGAGUAAUGUCUGGGAAACUGCCUGAUGGAGGGGGAUAACUACUGGAAACGGUAGCUAAUACCGCAUACCAUCAGAUGUGCCCAGAUGGGAUGAGCUAGUAGUUGGGGUAACGGUGCACCUAGGCGACGAUCCCUAGCUGGUCUGAGAGGAUGACCGGCCAAACUGGAACUGAGACACUGUCCAGAGUCCACCGGGAGGCAGCAGUGGGGAUGAGUGCACAAUGGGCGCAAGCCUGAUGCAGCCAGGCGGCGUGUGGGAAGAAGGCCUUCGGGUUGUAAAGCACUUUCAGCGGGGAGGCGUUACUCGCAGAAGAAGCACCGGCUAACUCCGUGCCAGCAGCGGCGGUAAUAC